GAUGAACGCUGGCGGCGUGCCUAAUACAUGCAAGUCGAGCGAACAGACGAGGAGCUUGCUCCUCUGACGUUAGCGGCGGACGGGUGAGUAACACGUGGAUAACCUACCUAUAAGACUGGGAUAACUUCGGGAAACCGGAGCUAAUACCGGAUAAUAUAUUGAACCGCAUGGUUCAAUAGUGAAAGACGGUUUUGCUGUCACUUAUAGAUGGAUCCGCGCCGCAUUAGCUAGUUGGUAAGGUAACGGCUUACCAAGGCAACGAUGCGAAGCCGACCUGAGAGGGUGAUCGGCCCCACUGGAACUGAGACACGGUCCAGACUCCUACGGGAGGCAGCAGUAGGGAAUCUUCCGCAAUGGGCGAAAGCCUGACGGAGCAACGCCGCGUGAGUGAUGAAGGUCUUCGGAUCGUAAAACUCUGUUAUUAGGGAAGAACAAAUGUGUAAGUAACUAUGCACGUCUUGACGGUACCUAAUCAGAAAGCCACGGCUAACUACGUG
rnacentral:rRNA from 1 species